UCGAAUCAAAAUUUUAAAUUAAUUCAAUUUGAUAGAUUUUUUCGAUUUCAAAUUUUGCUCAGCCUUGGAUGAUAACUGGAAUGACCAUCCCUGAAACCUUGAAAUGCAACGACUGACAUCAGGAAUUUGAAUUGAAUUGAAAUUGAAAUUGGACCUAAACCUACUUUAAUACCGUAUCAUGAUUUUUGAAUUAAAAGAACUGAGGUGAAUGAAUGGGCUUGAGUCAAGAGUCGACGAGUAAAGAUGUGCUUACUUGAGCUUGGACUAAUCAUAUUCAAAUAAAGGUUUGAGGUUUGAGGUUCAAAUGUUUAUUAAAUAUUUAAAUUGCAUUAACAUAAAUAUCCUAUCCAAUAUUUUCUUUUGAUGGACAGAAAAGCUAGUUGAGGAGCAAAAGAUGUUUGAUGUUGUGAUUGCACUAGAGGUUCUCUCUCUCUUUGUAAUCAUGCAUGCAUGUGGGCUCAGUAUAUAGGUAAUUGAGCACGUACCGGAUCCUGCCGAAUUCUGCAAGACUCUGUCAGCAUUAACUAAUCCAGGUGGAGCUACUGUGCUUUCAACAAUUAAUCGAUCUAUGAAAUCAUAUGCAAUUGCCAUUGUCGUAGCAGAGUACCUUCUGCAUUUGAGUUCCAGUGUUGGGAUAUGUCGUUGUGGGACGUCUUCAUUAUAGAGUUGCUAAUAAUAGAUAACCAUGCUUGCAGCUUCCCAUAGGCAAGCAUCAAUGGUCAUGUUUCGUUACUCCUGAAGAGCUAGCACUGAACCUGCAACGUGGUUCUGUCAACGUAAAACAAAAUGUUUGGGUUCUUGCACUUCUCUUUUAAGAAAAAUAAAAGAAAAUAUCAC